UGAGGAAUAUUGGUCAAUGGGCGCAAGCCUGAACCAGCCAUGCCGCGUGAAGGAAGAAGGUUCUAUGGAUUGUAAACUUCUUUUAUUUAGGAAUAAACCUCCCGACGUGUCGGGAGCUGAAGGUACUAAAUGAAUAAGCACCGGCUAACUCCGUGCCAGCAGCCGCGGUAAUACGGAGGGUGCAAGCGUUAUCCGGAAUCAUUGGGUUUAAAGGGUCCGCAGGCGGAUUUAUAAGUCAGUGGUGAAAUCCUGCAGCUCAACUGCAGAACUGCCAUUGAUACUGUAAGUCUUGAAUUUGAUCGGAGUGGGCGGAAUGUGUAGUGUAGCGGUGAAAUGCAUAGAUAUUACACAGAACACCGAUAGCGAAGGCAGCUCACUAGGUUAUAAUUGACGCUCAUGG
rnacentral:rRNA from 1 species